rnacentral:rRNA from 1 species
UGAGGAAUAUUGCGCAAUGGGGGCAACCCUGACGCAGCAACGCCGCGUGAGUGAGGAAGGUUUUCGGACCGUAAAGCUCUGUCGAGCGGGAAGAAGUGCAUGGUGGCUAAUAUCCAUUAUGCUUGACGGUACCGCUAGAGGAAGCACCGGCUAACUCCGUGCCAGCAGCCGCGGUAAUACGGGGGGUGCAAGCGUUGUUCGGAAUUAUUGGGCGUAAAGAGCGUGUAGGCGGCUGGAUAAGUCAGAUGUGAAAUCCCUGGGCUUAACCCAGGACGUGCAUUUGAAACUAUUCAGCUUGAGUAAGGGAGAGGAAAGUGGAAUUCCUGGUGUAGAGGUGAAAUUCGUAGAUAUCAGGAGGAACACCGGUGGCGAAGGCGACUUUCUGGCCCUAUACUGACGCUGAGACGCGAGAGCGUGGGUAGCAAACA